CAAAAACAUCGCCUCUUGACUAAAAUAAGAGGUCCCGCCUGCCCAGUGACUCAUGUUCAACGGCCGCGGUAUCCUAACCGUGCGAAGGUAGCGUAAUCACUUGUUCUUUAAAUGGGGACUAGUAUGAAUGGCAUCACGAGGGUUAUACUGUCUCCCUUUUCUAAUCAGUGAAACUAAUCUCCCCGUGAAGAAGCGGGGAUAAAAAUAUAAGACGAGAAGACCCUAUGGAGCUUUAAAUUUCAAUUCAAAUGCCCUUAUCUAAAAGUUUUCAACUUCACCCCUACAAACCCGGCAUAAUGAAAUAGAAUUUUAGGUUGGGGUGACCGCGGAGCACAAAACAACCUCCACAUUGAACUAGGCCUACUGCCUUAAGCAACGAAUUACAAUCCAAUGCACAAAAAAAUUUACAUUCAUUGACCCAAUUUUACUUGAUCAACGAACCAAGUUACCCUAGGGAUAACAGCGCAAUCCUCUUCAAGAGCCCAUAUCGCCAAGAGGGUUUACGACCUCGAUGUUGGAUCAGGGUAUCCCAGUGGCGCAGCCGUUACUAAUGGUUCGUUUGUUCAACGAUUAAAACCCU
rnacentral:rRNA from 1 species